AUACACUGUCACAUGAUGACCAAAUUGCUAAAGGAAGUUUACACUUUGAUGCAUCGGUCGGAACCCAAGCUAAGAGCAUAUACGGUCAAUAUGGUGAAGUGGAAGUAUACGUCACUUUUGAGUGAUCGAGGAAGCAAUACCCCCUUUACCUAACCUUGCCUACCGAUCGGUCAGUUGGGAUACAUAGUAAAUAAAUGGUGUGAGAAGAGGAGGAAUAUUGUUAUGCCGUAAUAUACACACACACACAUAUAUAUAUAUAUAUAUAUAUAUUUUGAAUUGUUGGCAAGAGUUGUGUCUCUGUUAGUGGAUGCUAUCUGUUUUAUUUUGUUUGGAAAUUGGAUGUAAUGCAAAACCAAAUGGGACCAAACAAUAUGUUACUUUUCAAAUAAUAAUAAUAAUAAUGAUAACAAUAUGUCCCAAACUCCAAAUGCCAAUCAUAUUUAAGACAAACUUGCAGACUUCCUAGUUUUAGUUUUUGAAAAGAAGACUAUACAAGGAAAAAGCAUAACAAUUGUAGUUUAAAAUAAAUGACGUGAAGAGCAUCAUUAUAAUCUUGAUGAUGUUCGGGAAGAACUUGGCUUGAAGGCUAUAGGAAUUCCAUUCAGUGAAGAUCACAAUAGUUGCAAAAUUCCAUUCCAUCUCAUGUAAUCGGUGUUUCUCCUACUAUUUCCGGUUUUUCUUCUAUUCUUGCUCACAUCUCUAAAAUUUUAUCUCCUACCUAAGAUCCUAUCUAAGAUCGUAUAGAGAUGCAAUCCCUAUCUUAAUCUAAAAGAUUAAGACUCACUCCAUAUUUAUAGAGCCGUGUUUCUUUGUCACCAUGAAUUUCUACUCAUUAAAAACUCUCUAUCAUUAAGUAUAUUUACCCUUUAAAUAAACUUAAUCAUCAAAUAAUUUUCAACGAAU
rnacentral:lncRNA from 1 species